GAUGAACGCUGGCGGCGUGCCUAAUACAUGCAAGUCGAGCGAACGGACGAGAAGCUUGCUUCUCUGAUGUUAGCGGCGGACGGGUGAGUAACACGUGGAUAACCUACCUAUAAGACUGGGAUAACUUCGGGAAACCGGAGCUAAUACCGGAUAAUAUUUUGAACCGCAUGGUUCAAAAGUGAAAGACGGUCUUGCUGUCACUUAUAGAUGGAUCCGCGCUGCAUUAGCUAGUUGGUAAGGUAACGGCUUACCAAGGCAACGAUGCAUAGCCGACCUGAGAGGGUGAUCGGCCACACUGGAACUGAGACACGGUCCAGACUCCUACGGGAGGCAGCAGUAGGGAAUCUUCCGCAAUGGGCGAAAGCCUGACGGAGCAACGCCGCGUGAGUGAUGAAGGUCUUCGGAUCGUAAAACUCUGUUAUUAGGGAAGAACAUAUGUGUAAGUAACUGUGCACAUCUUGACGGUACCUAACCAGAAAGCCACGGCUAACUACGUGC
rnacentral:rRNA from 1 species